UACAUGUGGGGCAAGCGUUGUUCGGAAUUACUGGGCGUAAAGGGCUCGUAGGCGGCCAACUAAGUCAGACGUGAAAUCCCUCAGCUUAACUGGGGAACUGCGUCUGAUACUGGAUGGCUUGGAUUCGGGAGAGGAAUGCGGAAUUCCAGGUGUAGCGGUGAAAUGCGUAGAUAUCUGGAGGAACACCGGUGGCGAAGGCGGCAUUCUGGACCGAUAUUGACGCUGAGGAGCGAAAGCCAGGGGAGCAAACGGG
rnacentral:rRNA from 1 species